GCGGGAAGUCCCACCCGGGAGCGCCGAGGGGCGAGGUCGGGAGGAGUAAGAGGGCGGAGGCGUGUGGCCUGUGGCGCGUGGCGCGUUUUCCUGAGUCCUGUUGCAGGAACUGUCCAAGGCCUUGAAAGGGGAUUUUUUUUAACUUUCUGCUAAUGAGCGCCAGGCUGUGGUUCAUUCCAGCCCCGCCCAGUAGAAAUCUAGGUGGGCAACGCCCACCUCGGAAAGUCCUCCGACUUCCGUCCUCCUCAGCGGCUCUGGACCACAACCCCCAGAAGGCCUCGGGGCUCAGCCAUCUGACUUGCGCAGUACAGUUCGUUGUAAAGUGCUAUGACAACAGGGCGAAGAUGGCUUGGAGUUAGGCAGGAGUCGGGAGGUGGCCCUUCCACCGUUGCUGUCCUUUUUCUGCUACAUCCCCAUCACUGCCUUCUUUACCGUUUCCUCCUCUUUGGGAGCAGCAGGAUUCGCCGUUGUUCUCGCCUGCUUGGUCUCUUCCAAGGGAUUGAUGCCGUUUCCCUUGCUUGUCUACGGGAGUGACAGAGAAGGGAUGCAGAGGAGCUCCUUGUGGGGGUCGGUCCAACUCUGUGCAGCUGGUGGUGCUACCUGGUGAGGUGCUCUCUUUGCCCAGGACGUGCAACAAGUUGGAGCAGGGGAACGAGAGGGAGUAGCGAAGUUGCGUUGGUGUUUUCUGUAGUCUCCGUUCUCGCUCUCGGCCGUUCCAGCCCUGGGACCCUGGCAGACAAGGGAAAUCUGCGGAAAGAGACUUCGAAGAAAGGUGGGACAGGACCACCUGAUUCAGCAUCAGAGUGAACAAAAAUGUCUUUAUUUAAAGCCCGUGAUUGGUGGUCGACUGUUCUGGGAGAAAAAGAAGAAUUUGAUCAAGGCUGUUUGUGUUUGGCUGAUGUUGACAAUAGUGGAAAUGGACAGGAUAAAAUAAUUGUGGGUAGCUUUAUGGGAUACCUACGAAUCUUUAACCCCCAUCCUGUAAAAACAGGAGAUGGAGCUCAAGCUGAAGAUUUGCUUCUAGAAGUGCAUCUGCGAGAUCCAAUACUGCAAGUGGAAGUAGGAAAGUUUGUUUCAGGUACUGAAAUGCUUCAUUUGGCUGUGUUGCAUUCUAGAAAACUUUGUGUCUACUCUGUCUCAGGAACCUUGGGUAAUGUGGAACAUGGGAACCAAUAUCAGAUCAAAUUGAUGUACGAACAUAAUCUUCAGAGAACAGCUUGCAAUAUGACUUAUGGAACAUUCGGUGAUGUAAAAGGUCGAGAUUUAAUUUGCAUUCAGUCUAUGGACGGGAUGCUGAUGGUGUUCGAGCAGGAAAGCUAUGCUUUUGGGAGAUUUCUCCCUGGUUCUCUUUUACCUGGCCCUCUCGCUUACAGUUCCCGGACAGAUUCCUUCAUUACUGUCUCUUCCUGCCGACAAGUGGAAAGUUACAAGUACCAAGUACUUGCUUUUGCAACAGACGCAGAUAAAAGACAGGAGACUGAACAGCAAAAACUUGGUUCUGGAAAAAGACUAGUCGUAGAUUGGACUCUCAAUAUUGGAGAGCAAGCCCUUGAUAUAUGUAUUGUCUCUUUCAAUCAGUCGGCAUCUUCUAUUUUUGUUCUUGGUGAAAGAAACUUUUUUUGCCUGAAGGAUAAUGGACAGAUUCGAUUCAUGAAGAAACUUGAUUGUAGUCCAAGUUCUUUUCUCCCAUACUGUUCAGUUUCUGAAGGAACAAUAAAUACUUUGAUUGGAAACCAUAAUAAAAUGUUGCAUAUUUAUCAGGAUGUGACACUGAAGUGGGCCACUCAGCUUUCUCACAUUCCUGUGGCAGUAAGAGUGGGCUGUUUACAUGAUUUAAAGGGAGUGAUAGUCACUCUGAGUGAUGAUGGUCACUUGCAGUGUUCAUACCUAGGGACAGACCCUUCUUUGUUCCAAGCUCCAAAAGUUGAAUCUAGAGAACUAAACUAUGAGGAACUUGAUAAGGAAUUGAAAGAACUUCAGAAACUCAUCAAGGAUGUUAACAAAUCACAAGGUGUUUGGCCCAUGACUGAGAAAGAAGAUGACUUGAAAGUUUCUGCCUUGGUUUCUUCUAACUUUGAUUCUGUGUCUCAAGCUCCUGAUGUUGAAGUGGGAACUGACCUUGUCCCUUCAGUCACAGUGAAGGUCACACUGCAGAAUCGAGUGGCAUUGCAAAAAGCCAAAUUAUCAGUCUAUGUGCAACCACCUUUAGUACUGACUUGUGAUCAAUUCACCUUUGAAUUUAUGGCACCAGAGAUGACUAAAACAGUAGCCUUUUCUGUUUAUCUGAAAGGAAGUUAUACACCACCUGAAUUGGAAGGAAAUGCUGUCGUUUCUUAUUCCAGACCAACAGAUCGAAAUCCUGAUGGCAUUCCUCGAGUUAUUCAAUGUAAAUUUAGACUUCCCCUGAAAUUAAUCUGCCUACCAGGUCAGCCUUCAAAAACUGCAAGCCACAAACUAACUAUUGAUACCAACAAGUCUCCAGUCAGUCUUCUCAGUCUCUUUCCAGGCUUUGCCAAUCAGUCAGAAGAUGAUCAAGUGAAUGUAAUGGGUUUUCGCUUCUUAGGAGGUUCCCGAGUUACUCUUCUUGCUUCCAAAACCUCUCAACGAUAUCGCAUUCAGAGUGAACAAUUUGAAGAUCUUUGGCUCAUAACAAAUGAGCUUAUUAUCCGCCUUAAAGAAUAUUUUGAAAAACAGGGAAUCAAAGAUUUCUCAUGUUCUUUUUCUGGAUCUGUGCCCCUUCAAGAAUAUUUUGAGUUGAUUGAUCAUCAUUUUGAGCUGCGGAUAAAUGGUGAGAAAUUAGAAGAACUCUUAUCUGAAAGAGCUGUCCAGUUUCGGGCCAUUCAGCGCCGGCUAUUAACAAGAUUCAAAGAUAAAACACCUGCCCCCCUCCAACACCUGGACACCUUGCUAGAUGGAACUUACAAGCAGGUGAUUGCUCUAGCAGAUGCAGUAGAGGAAAACCAGGACAACCUGUUCCAGGCGUUCAUCAGGCUGAGAAGUGCCACUCACUUGGUGAUUCUGCUCAUCGGACUGUGGCAGAAGCUCAGUGCCGACCAGGUUGCUAUUCUGGAAGCGGCCUUCCUGCCGCUGCAGCAGGACACUCAGGAACUGGGCUGGGAAGAAACGGUGGAUGCUGCUGUCUCCCACCUCUUGAAGACCUGCCUGUCGAAGAGUUCAAAGGAGCAGGCUUUGACCCUCGGCAGCCAACUGGACGUCCCCAAAGACACAAGCCGCCUGAAGAAGCACAUCACCUUGCUGUGCGAUAGGUUAGCCAAAGGCGGACGCCUCUGCCUGAGCACCGAUGCCGCGGCCCCGCCGACCAUGGUCAUGCCAGGUGGCUGUGCUCCGAUCCCGGAAUCAGACCUGGAGGAGAGAUCAGUAGAACAAGAAUCCACUGAACUGUUUACCAACCACAAGCACCUCAUUGCAGAGACACCCAUGCCUGGAUGACUGACUUUUCCAAAAAAUGGAAAAGUGGCGUUGCCCACUUCCACACCAGCCUCCCAGACGUGGCCAGACAUGUUCCCAGCCCACAUGAACACAGGUUAGCCUCAGGUCGGAUGCACUGCGCCCACUUCAGUCCGUGUUCACAGAGGCAAGAGAGGCGAGUCAGUGAUGGAGCUCCCAGUUCCUCGACUUCCUACGCUUUUUGGUUUCCCAGCUUCUCAAGGGACCGGCUUCUUAUUCCCACAGAUUGUGCCAAGAAGAGGCUGAUGUUACUGACUCUCUAACUAUGUUUACUUAAGUCUGGAUUUAAAGAGAGGAGGUACCUAUCAGCAGUAAAAAAAGGAAAAAAGAUAUAAAAGGUCAGCAAACUGGGAAUAGAAAGGAACCUUCUCAACAUGAUAAAAAGCAUCUAUGAGAAACCUACAGCAAACAUGCUUAACGGUGAAAGACUACAGUCUUCUUUUGAAACUGGGAAUCAGUUCAAAGCCCAGCUCGAUGUGAUUUCAAAUGGUGAGGAAACGCCGACGUGAUGCGGAAGGCCGCGGAUGGCCGCGGAUGGCCGCGGAUGGCCGCGGACGGCAGGAAGAGCUCGGCCAGGAUGCGCUCCACGCUAUGGGUGCCGAACCGGCUCUCGGCAGCCCUCCCAGCUUGGUGACGGAUGACAGAGACCACUAGUAAAGGGAUCCCGGACAGGGAUGCUGCUCUUCGCGGGGGUGUUCCACGGAGCAACGGGGACCAGGACAGGGAAUCACGGCCGCUAACUGGGGCAGAGAUGGAACAAAUUCCCUCUCAUCACAGAAAGGUUUGAAAAAUACUAAGAUGGGGCUAAGAGAGGCGCUCUUUCCGAGACUGGUCUCCUAUUGGACAAGUUAGCAACACUCUUGUUAUGAAUGAAUCAUCGCUUCUGCCUAUGGAUGAAAUCUGUGUUGUUCCAUAGUCUUCCAAGGAACGUGAAUUCACCUUCCAGGGAAUCUUUUGUAGACACUGUUAGACUAAAAGCUUGAACACAAGGACAAGUCAGACAUCUGCAAAAAGAGCAAGCUCUAAUGACGGGGAGUGGUUGCAUCAUUUUAAACGUAUGUGACUGCGUCGAAGCAUGACGCCAAGGGAUGCCUGGUUCCUGACGCACAUCUUGGUGAUCCCCUGUGGGAAUAUGAGGCUUGUGAUCCAUUUCUAAUUAGGGAAGUAGGUCUGACUCUCUUUGGAGUUCAUCACAGGUUACAGGAGGAACUUCCGCCAUGAGCCUGCUCAGAAUGACAAGGCGCUUUUCCAACGCAAGACCUCACCACGGAUGCCCUAGUGUCCCUUCCCCGAAUCCGAGAUGACAGAGAGAUGUCUGAGCAGCUGUUUCACAAUUCACAAAGCGCAAGAUGUCCUUCGUUAGGCUAGUGGAAGUAUCUCCUGGGGUGACUGGCGACCCAGAACGUCACUCCACACAGGUGACCGAAGAACGUCACUCCACACAGGUGACCGAAGAACGUCACUCCACACAGGUGACCCAAGAACGUCACUCCACACAGGCGACCCAAGCGGCCUCAGGAGCCCUUUGAUCUCUGCAGAGGAAAGGCGCCAUAUAACUGCAGAAAUCCAUUAUAGUCAUACAGAAGACUGGCUUUAUGGGUGAAGUCCAGCUUAGCGACGCUGUUGGAUGGAAGAGUGUGCGAGGCAGCGGAAUGCUAAUGCCAAAGCAUUAUUCAGAUAAGUGGCCUUGUUUAAGAAAUUUGUUUUUUAAGUAUGCUUUUUAGUGAGCACACAGCCAAAAAAAAGUGCACCAGUCAUGAGCGUUCAGCUUGAUGAGUGUCAACACAGUGAAUCCACCCAAGUAACCAGCACCCAGAUUAAGAAAUAGAAUAUUACAGUAUCCCCAGUGCCCCUUCUCAUUCUCUAUACCCUACAAAGUCAUCGCGAUUUUUUUUUUUUUUUUUAAUCGCCAUAGGUCAGUCUCACUUGAUUUUGAACUUCACGUAAAUCACGCAGAAUGUGCUCUUUGGGGUCUGGCUUCUUGUUCUCAGCACGGUGUUAUCAAGAUUCAUCCAUGCAGCGUUCUUCGGUUCUUUUUAGUGUACAAAUUUUGUUCAUGAAUAUAGCACCAUUUACCCAUUCUGCUAUUGAAGAGCAUUUGAAUUGUUUCCGACUUCUGGCUAUUACAUGUAGUGGUAUUAAACAUUCUUUCGGAUGCCUUUCGAUGUACGUAUGCGUGCGUGUAUGUUGGACAUGUGUUUAGGAGUGGGAUUCCUGGGUCACAAAGCUUGCCUUUAGUAGAUAUUGAUGACGGCUUUCCGAAGUGGUUGUACCGAUUCUUACCAUAAGUCGUGUGUAAGUGCUCUGGGUGCUACACGUCCUUACCAACAUUGGUGUAGUCAGUUUUUUUUUUUUCUUUUGUAAUUUUAGCCAUUCUGUUGGGUGUGAAGUGGCAUCUCAUUGUGGUUUCAAUUUUCACUUCUCUGAUAACUAAUCAUGUUGGGCACCUUUACAUAUAUCCAUUCCCUUUUGUGAUGCACCUGUCGAACUCUUCCGUGUAUCUUAUUGUCAAAGGUCUGUAUUGCAAAUAUAUAUUGCAGAUAUGUACAUUUAUCUGUGGCUUCCUUCAUAGUGUCUUUUGAUAACACCAGUUCUUAAUUUUAAUGUAUUUCAAUUUAUAUAUUUUUUUCCUAAAAGAAAAAAUUAUUUAAUACUUUCUGUAACCUGUUAAGAAAUCGUUUCCUAUUCUAAGUUGUGAAGCUAUUUGUCUAUGUUUUUUUUCCAGAACAGUUAUUGUUUGAUGUUUUAUACGUUGGUCUACAAACCAUUUGGAAUCGAUUUUUUGUUCGUGGUUUAAGGUGGAGGUCAAGAUCCUCGUUUGCUUGCUUGUUUGUUUUUCUAUAUGGAUUUGCAGUUUCUCCAAUACAAUUUUUGGAAGAGAUCACACUUUCUCCACUGAAAUUCACUUUUGAAACAAGUUCAAGGUUGAAAUUCCCAGCAGGGAAAGGACUCUCUUCUGCUGCCUACGUUUUCAGACUGCUGUGCAUGGGAAGGGCCAUCGGAUGUGCUUGAAGUGCGCAUCCCUCAGCUGCACGUCCAGAGGUUCUGAUUCACUGCAGAUGAUUCUCAUGCCUGGUGUCUGGCCCACACUCGAAGGAUUGUUGUUUCACCCAGACCACCCUGAGCUCAUCAGACUCUGCAUCUCUCUUUUCUGCAUGCCUCUUUUAUCCACGUAUAGGCAUUGGUACCUCCUGUGAAUUUCCGUGGUAGAGAAGACCAGUUAACAAGUCCGUUUUGGGGGAUCCUAUUUGUCCUACCAACUCUAACGUUUUGCUUGAUUAAUAAUCUCUUCCUUCAUUAGUUAUUCAUCAUUAUAUAUCAGUUAAUGAUCAUUGAUUUGAAUCUUACUUGGGCAUCACCACCCCCCGCUGCCACCCCAUUCUGGUACUCAACGAAGUUCAUUGCAAAGCAAAUAUUUCGAGGCAACUUGCUUGUCCCCUAAUACAGCUUAGCCCAGUUGUGUCAUCUUUUUAUCGGGACCCAUGAUGUUCUAUUAGCCUUUAUUGAACACGUACUAGUCGCCAAGCAUUGUCUUCGAAUGAACUCUUUUUCUUCGAGGUUGUCACAGUUCCUACUGGAGGUGGGGAGACUGACCAGCUUCUUAACAGAAGAUUGCAAUGAAGAGUGACGUACCCCAUAAUUAGGGGCUGUGCAAGGUCACCCAGGCCAGAGAAACCUUCGACAGCGGUGCUUGAGCUGGGUCUUGAAGAGCGCUUAGGAGCUUGCCUAGGGACAAGUGGGCAGUUUACAGUGCAGUGGAAAGUAAAACCAUGCAAUCCCUUGGUGUGGUACAGUUUUACCGUGUGUCUCUUUAUAUUAUUUUGCUCAAUUUGAUCGUUUUUUUACGUGAAAUAUGCAUGUCAUGAAUUCAGCUCUUCUCGUCCAUGAGACUUAUUUCACCCUGAGGAUCCUUCUCCGCUCCACUGACAAAAGGGAAAUCAUUGUCGUUUUGAAGUCUGGUAGAUGAAGUGCCGAGUAUCCCAGAAGGCACACUCGUGUGUCCCGUUCCAGCUAUUCAUUCAUGCCUCCCUCCUGGACAACUGCUCACUCGUUUCUGACCCCCACUGCCUGGCACGGAGUCUGAUUCUGCAUAGAUGCCCGAUGAGAUGCUUUUGGAGUUGAACUGGGUUGUGAAUUCCUUUUGAUAUUUUUUAGGUCCUUUCUGUAUGCCGAAUACUGGACUAAAUGCUCAGCACGCUGUAACGACAUACCCUUGUGUUGAGUCAUGUGCGGGGUGGAUGCGUAAGCUGCGUUUCCUGUUCCACACGACAAGGGCUAUGGUGCAUUAUGCAGAAAAGAGCAUAGAGAGGAGCAUCUCAGACUAGAGGAGAAAGGGAGGCUUCUUAAAAGUGGUGAUAUUUAAACUUAAUUUCGAAGGAUGAGAAGGAGUUAACCAGUUGAGAAAGGAAAAAGAACAUUCUGAUUAUAGAGAACAGCACGUAGGAAGAAGCCUCAAGGUAUGAACCAUCCUGACACUGGCCAGGACCUUGAUGUGUGGUCAAGAAGGUGAAGAGAGCAGACUCUAGAUUGCAGAGUUCCAGAACCACACACAUAUAGAACCACAUGGAUGAAAGCCCAAAGGAUGCUGUGAAACUAAGACUAACUUGGACUUCUUAGCCAGGGACACCGUCCUGGGAUCCUGAACACCUCCCUGAACCGUUUUCCAUGGUGUGCCUGAAUUUGAAUGCACAGGGGGUGCAAGAAAACACACGAAGACAGCACUUUGAGAGGCAGCGAAUUUGGGGCCACACGCUGAGCUAGCUCAGAGGUUGGGACCCAAAUGAAGUUAAGUUUGCUUGUUGCCUCCCAGCUCAACCUCGACUUGUGAGAGAUUUUAGUUUCACAGAAGCAGAGUUAGGGAAGACAGAAUUGCAUUAGUAAAAUAAAUCCCUUUAGACUUGGGUCAUCUCGAAGAUUCAAUUUCAAGUGUUUUAGCGUAAACACAUUUCUAAGGUUUCCUAAUGCCAGCUGAUAUAGUCCUUUUGGGAGAAACUAAAUGUGCCCAAAUAAAAUAGGGGUAAAUGCCACAGAGAAAUUCUCAUAAAAAACAAAUUAUUGCUAUAUAAAAAAAUCCUGCUUUUUUUCUCCUUUUAGUUCAGGGAGUUAGAUACUCACUAAUACACACAUGUAUAUAAAACUAUCAGCUUUGGCUGGAGAUUCAAGAAAAAUAGCUCAAGAAAAAAGGAGGACAAAGAUUAAACCAGAAUCCUUUUGAUUUAAAGAGACUAAGAAUUAUUUAAAAUACUCUUUCCAUCUUCACGGCUAUGGUUCGGGCUCUCUGAUAUGUCACUUGUGCAUGUUCCCCCAAGGGACUGGAGUAGAUAGCCAGGGUGAGCGACAUUCUCAGCGCAGGUCCCAAUGCUUUCCGCUUGUUCCCUCCGUGCUGUUUUUAGAACAAAUGAGAGAUGGCCAUUCCUCUCUAUUCAGUAGGGACAGUCAGGUGUUCACAGACUCUUAAGUUAACGUGGUCCAUGUCGACCCGAUUUUAAUUCCGCAAACCCUUCGCUGAACAACUUUCAUUUACAAAUGUUGACUGUACUCUCCUUUGCAUGUGGCUACAGAGAUUAAGUCUCUUUGCUCAAGGAUUUCCGUCUCUUGAAGGAGGUACAUCAAUAAUGCAGCGAUAACUGCCUAAGUGACAACGGGACCGGGGAGAUUGGGGAAGGCCGUGAGGAGCGGAGGCGGGUCUCUGAGAAAACUAUCCAGAGAAGGCCACACUGGAGCUGGCUUUAGUACUCUGAAUUGUAAAGGAAUUAGAUUGAAUAAGCCCCAGCCUUAAUUCCCAGUGGGAAAUAUUUGUUUGUCUUACCAAGUGAGGGACUGUGACUCAGUAACAUGUCCGAAUAAGAUUUUACUGGUUUCCCAUUCCCAAUCCUGCUGUUUCUCCUUUAGUUCAGGGCAUUAGAUACUAAAACAAGUUAGGUAUCUCAAGUGUCAGGAUGUCAUUUUAGUGCCCGUGACUACACGGGUUGAGAGACUAUUUGCUCAGAGGAAACACCUUGCGAGAAGAUUGUGAAGACAACACCACUAUGUUUGUAUACUACUCCUGGAAAGUACAUUAAUGGCCAUAAAAUUAUUUGGCUAAUGUCAAUGCAUCUUUUGAGUGACGAGAGCCAACCUUUCCCGGGAAAAAUUUCAGAGCCAUGACCCACCGUUAUGGGUUGAGUUGUGUCUCCCCCAAAUUUGUAUGUUGAAGUCCUUACCCCAGAAUGUGACUCUAUGUGGAAAUAGGGUCAUCGCAGAUAUAAUUAGUGAAAAUGAGGUCAUCCUGGAGUGGGGUGGGUUCCUAACCCAAGGUGACUGCUAUCCUUAUAAACAGGUGAAAUUUGCACACAAACUCUCAUGGGGGAAAGGCCACGUGAGGCGACGUGGGGAGAAGAUGGCCAUCCACAAACCAAAGACAGAGGUCCGGACACGUCCUUCGCUCACAGCCACCAGCAGGAACGACCCUGCCACACCCCUGACUUGAGCUUCCAGCCUCCAGAACUGUGAGACAACAAAUUCCUGUUGUUUAAGCUGCCCAGUUUAUGGUACUUUGUUUUGGCAAACUCAGUAAACCAACACGCCCACCAAA